rnacentral:lncRNA from 1 species
CAGUACCCAGGCGUUCGGCCGAAAAUAAGGAAGCUUUCUGUGGAUGCUGCGGCAGAAUGUUCGUGGAGAAAGCUGCUCUUCAUCCAGUUAACAACCAUCUUUCAGUUGGUCUGGUCAACAGGAGAAGACAUGAGACUGAUACCUUUUAUCAUCAUGCAUCAGAAUUGUCAGUCUAGAAAUGGUAAGGUAAGAAUGCAGAACUUAUCUGAAUCAAAUCUCCAGAAAAAGAUUUAGCCAGAGAAAG